GUGAAAUAGAAACUUUCUGGAAGAAAAGGUAUAAAACCCCACUCACUGAAUGCUGGGGGUGGGCAGUUUUACUUUUUUUUCUGCAUAGCAGGAGGCUGCUCACCUGCCUGGCAGGAUAAUAAAGGUCCUAAUUUCUGCUGUAUUCAGAAGAAAGGGAUCGAAUAACCGGGUGAAUGGAAUCUCCUCCCUGCCAGCGGCCAUGACAGGAAGAAGCGGCCGUAUUUUUUGGCCCCUGCCGGCAUCCUUACCGCCUACAACUCCCACAAUGCACCCGCCCAAACCCAAGCUUAACCCCUUGGGUGCCUGCCUGCAGCCAAUUUCGUGCCGCCAAAGCACGAUGCGAGCUAUUUUAGGCUCUUUCGAAAGCAGCCAGCGAAACGAAAGCUGUUCUUAUGCCAGAAGCAGCUUCCAAAUAACAUCCAAGACAAUUUUAGCCUAAGACUAUUCUACAAGUUAUGCCAAGCAAUGACAGUUCUGCAACGUGUUUACUGCAAAGUGCAAGUUCAUUUGUUCAGUCCUUUCUUGUUUGAAUCCUCUUAUUACAUCUUGUGAAAUUACAGGUUGAGUAUCCCUGAAUCAAAAAGCUUGAACCAAACUGCGUUGGCUGUGUGUUUUCCCGGCUGUAUGGCUAUGUUCCAGAAGCAUUCUCCCCUGACGUUUCGCCCACAUCUAUGGCAAGCAUCCUCGGAGAUUAUGAA